AUUGAGCAAUGCAAGAUUAUACUAGAAAAAGAUAAUUUUAAGGAUAUAAGUACUGCUUUCUUGAAGAGGAAGGAAGGAAGGAAGGAAGGAAGGAAGGAAGGAAGGAAGGAAGGAAGGAAGGAAGGAAGGAAGGAAGGAAGGAAGGAAGGAAGGAAGGAAGGAAGGAAGGGUAGUCGAGGCAGAGCCUCCUCUUUCCUUUGUUUGUCUUUGCUUCAGACAAAGUUGUGGAUUUGUUUGUCUUUGCUUCAGACAAAGAUGUGGAUUAACCUUUACCCAUCCUGGGACCAAGGAUGGAACAGGAAACAUGAAGGAAGCAGGAUAACAUUUAUGAAAAGCAAAUUGUGAUAAGGAUGUCACAGAACUGGCCGACCCUGUGGAGGAGUCUUGUAAUUGGCGCCUGAACAGGGACCCCCGAACUGGGACUUGCAUUCGUAACCCCGAUUCCUUUGCUGGUUUUAGGAUGACAAAGAAUAACGACUCCCUCUACGAGACUAUAGCUUGGGUCAAGGACAACGAUGGAUCCCCCGCAGAUGGACUAAGCCUAUCCGGCCGCCUGGAGACAAUGAGACUUCAACGCCGACCAAGGGGCAGGAAAAGGCCCCGUGUGCUCCAGAGAAGAAAGAAACAGCUGCUCCUGUUCCUGAUGACUCUGAUGAGCACUCUCACCAUGGCUAAUACAGAGACACAGACUCACUGGGUUUUAUGGGAGAAACCCCCAUGGAUUAAUUUUGUAGAAUAAUAAGAGGAUUUCCCUGAUGUAUCCCUUCAUGCUCGUCAAUUUGGGCCGGGAUGGAACUGGACUGCAAAGAGGGGGGAAACUAGAACACCUGCAUACAAUGUCUUGCAUCCACCUUUUGAAGCCAUUCCUGAACGGGUAUCAUAUCUGAACAUACUAUUUAAUUGGACUGGACUUACCAAAAAACCACCUGUGUGCUUUGGACACUGCCUGUAUUCCCCUUGUCAAUCUGACCGAUCAUUUUUAUGGUGCGCCCAAUGACACAGAUAAAAUAGGACCACACCGGGUAAGUGAAGGGUGGACUUUCACAGCCUGGGGAAAGAUUUCAUAUUAUGGAUGGCAAGGGAAAACACAAAAUACUAGACAGGAAAAUGGGUACCUGACCAACAGAACUUUCAUAGAACAGAAAACCCAAUACUGUCCUUAUAUUCAGGAGUGGGAACUUCCUUUCUCAAGAAAACAGAGCCAUGGUGUCUUUCCCCCAUUCUUAGAAUGUGAUCGUCAUGAUCUUGACAUGAUUCAAUUUCAUAAUCUAACCUUUUUCUCCCAGCA
rnacentral:lncRNA from 1 species